UUCAGGGAACAGUCUCAAUCAACCAGUGGAAAUGAUUCACUUCAGUAUGUUCCAUCUAUGCACAAAUGAUGGAUCCAAUGGUGACUCUAUUCGGAAGUGUUCACGAGAAACAGAACAAAACUGGAAGCAUGAUUUUCCCAAAUUCAAUUGCUAUUUUUACAGAAGAAACCAUAUUAAAGAAAAGAAAAGCCUCCUCAAUUCUUCAGAACUUGAAGAGUGAAGAGCUUCAAGGGAAUGUUGAAGAAGUCAAUCAAGUGACUAAUGCUCUUGGCCCUAAAAAGGUUUUAAUACUGAUAUAUGCAUUGAUUUACGACGAGAGAUUAAAUGGUCACAACAAUGAUUUUACUUCUUUAUGGUUGUAUAAAAUCGUGGUUAGUAGAACUAAAUUUAAUAAAAUGUCAGGGCACAAGUGCAACUGCUAGAUAGAGAAAGGCUAAAAAGAAGCGAGAUUUAGCUAAAAUCACAAAAAAGGUAUUUGUAUACUAAAGUUAGUGUAAAAAAUAUCCACAGCGAGUUAUACAUUUAUUGUAACUUGAAAAUUGCAGCCACAACAAGCCUUUUCAAAGCCUCAAAUAACUAAACCUAAAAACAAAGAGGAUGAUGAUUAGCCAAAGUGACCAGUAAGUAAUAACUGAUCGUGCACUAAAAGUUUAUGCAACUCAAGUAUUAUAUUUGUUGCCAAUAUUUUUUUUAUUAUAUAUAUAUGGCAGCUAUACUGGAAACAGGCUUCUUAAACGCCUUUGCUCUUCAAAUUCUUGAACAAGCAGAGGUCGAGAUUCUUUUGUCGAACAUGGGCAUCGGUUCAGAAUCGGCUUCUUUUCUGAUUAGUGGUGUCACAACACUCUUGAUGCUUCCUAGCAUUGGUGUUGCCAUGAAACUUAUAGAUGUAGCGGGCUGAAGGUAAUUUCAAGGGGGUUCGGGUUGGCAAGUUGGAUAUUUCAACCAGAACAUGACCCAAAAUUUUAUAGGUGUCAAAAACAUCAACCUUAGUCUGGACACACUUUAUAUCGUGUAACCCGAACAGAGCUCGUUUAACCCAUUUAUCUAAACAUGGCUAACGGGUUGAUGGGUAGUAAUUAGUAAUCAAGUUGUAAACAUGUUAAUCGGGUUAAAUGGGUCAUACACGGGUUUAUGUGUCAACUUGAUCAAUUAAACAGGUUGGUGGGUCAACCUGUUUUACUAAAUGGGUUAAAUAGCUCAAUCGGAGCACGAGCCUUUUAAUUAAACAUGUCAACCCGUUAUCUACUUGCCAAUAUCUGCAUCAGUAUUCGUUAACGUAUAUAUGUUUGCUGGGUAAUCGAGUUUGUUUACGAGUCAGCGAAAACAGGUUUUAGAGAUUGUUGGUUAAUGAAGAUUUAGUAUAACAUUGAUCGAGUUGUAUUGAGGUGCACGUUAAAGUAGUCAUUAAAAGUUUGUUGCUGGAAUGGGGGAGUACAUGGUCAAUUUUUAGCAUGUGCUUUUUUUUUUGUUCUGUUGCUUAUAUUCCCAGUUUACAUAUUUUCUUUUCCUACCACUUGUAAAUCUAUUUUGAAGUUCAAGAUACAGAAGCUUAAAGCUUCAAUGUUGAUCCUGUUAGACACAAUAAGCAAACAAAAAACAUUUUUUUGCUGGUGAAGACUGUUUCGACUACAUAAUUACGACUCAGUUUCGACAGGUUUUUGGGCGAUAUUGAAAGAUGCAAAAGAUGCGGUUACAUUAGAACCGCAUCUUUUGGGCGAUGCUUUUUUCAAAAUGAAUACAUGACUUUAUCAGAUGAAUCAAAAGAUGCGGUUGCAACCUACCAACCGCAUCUUUUGAAAAUCCUAUGGCAUCUUUUGCCUACUUAUGUACUAGUGCUUCUAUUUGCAUCCUAAAAAGAUAAUAGUGUUUGUUGACUAUAUGUGUUGGUCAAAUUGCAGACAUCUAGAGGACAAUAUGCUGACUGGUUGUUUACCAUCUUACUUUGGUAGUUUGCCAAACUUAAAAGAACUAUAUAUAUAGAACAACUCUCUGACUUGAGAGAUUCCUCCAGGACUACUGACCGGAAAAAUAAUCUUUAAACCAUGGUUGCAUUGAUGGGGGCACAAGUUUCAAAACCGCUGAUUGCAACCAAGGUGGCUUUUUACCAAACGAGAUAUUAAGAGCCUACCAUGUUUACAGGUGAUGGCAAUUCCGACAACGAAGAGCUUAAAGUGAUGUCAAAAGAAG